UUUGGGCUGCUUCGCUUGCUCUGUGCAACCCCCUUGCGAUCAGUGGUUUUGUUGGCUUACACCCGCUGAUGUCGGCUUUCUAUCCGUGUGGCUGUGGUGCGACAGAUUCUUUUGCUGAUGCGAAAGCUUGAGGACUCCCGCGCUGGGGUGAGAGACUACGUGCGCAUUCGAAUCAAAAUCCUGACUUGAUCCACGCCACGACCAUCUCCUUCCGACCCACCGUUGGAAUAGCUGAAUUCUGCUCCCGAGGCAACGAGUCGGAGGGAGACAACUCGCGCUCGUUUAGCCUGUUAAAACCAAGCACUCCGUCGCUUGUCCACGCGACAACGUAACUGGGGUUUGUCCUACAUCAUGCAAUUCAAUCACCUGGCUCCUCGCCCGCCAGGUUGUUGAUGAAAUUUCUCGCCGAUAGGGACCCACGAGUGUUUUCCAUUUUGAUUACCUGGAGGAGUUGCAAUGGUUCCGGGGAGGGAACUAUGUCGAGUAUUUCUUGAAGGGAGACACCUGUGCAGCAUGUAUGCUCGAUUUUAUAGUGCAAAAGUGGACUUGAAAAAGCUCCGGCCUAUGAUUCUGAAGAGGAUUGAAGAUAGGGCCAAGCAUUAUCCAGUCCCGGGAAUGGUUCCUGUUGCGCAAGAAGUGUUGAAGGCCAGGACUUUGCUCAUCCAGGGCGUAUCGACACUUCUCAGGUUCUUCCCAGUUGCAGCUUGCAAGUUUUGUUCGGAAGUAUAUGUAGGUGAAAAGGGACACCUAAUUCAAACAUGCUGUGGUUAUAGGCGUCGUGGCAAAAAUCGAGUUCACGAAUGGAUCAAUGGUGGAAUAAAAGAUAUUCUUGUACCAGUUGAUGCCUUUCAUCUUAAAACAAUGUUCCAAGAUGUCAUAAAGCACCAUCAGCGGUUUGAUUAUGAUCGUAUACCUGCUGUUGUUGAGCUAUGCUAUCAGGCUGGAGCUGAUUUGUGUGAUGAGAAUCUGCAUUGCAUGCCCGAAUCUGAUGAUGCUCAGAUUGAUAGCAAUGAGGCUGAGGUUAUCUCGGCUGAUGAUCUGAUGUUGAUAGCAAAUGGGACUUUGAGGGCAUGGGAGACACUUAGGUCUGGCGCGCAGAAAUUAUUAUCAGCUUACCCAGUAAAAGUCUGCAAGUACUGUUCAGAUGUCCAUGUUGGACCGUCUGGCCACAAGGCUCGGUUAUGUGGGGUUUUCAAGUACCAGAGUUGGCGUGGUGGUCACUUCUGGAAGAAGGCUCAGGUAGAUGAUCUGGUGCCUUUGAAUAUUGUUUGGUUCCCUCGACCUCAAGAUCCUCAUGUGCUGGUGGAUGAAGGACGGAAUUUCUAUGGUCAUGCACCUGCUGUGGUGAGUUUGUGUGUGCAGGCUGGUGCCGUUACUCCAGUCAAGUACCAUUGUAUGAUGAAAAUCCAAGGUCAAACUGCACCUAUUUCAACCGAGCCUUGAAGCACAAUAUGGAUUUGAUUACAGUUCGGAUGCUCUCAUCUUGCAUAGGUUUAUACCUGCAGCUGCAGAUGCUCGAGUUUCUCUCAUUGAUCAGGCAAGCUCAAAUGAGGCAAUGGGUAAGGAGAGAAUUAGAAGAAAGGGGACAAAAUUUAUUCCUUUUCAUAUCUGUUUCUGAUGUUGGUAUAGUAUGAUUAGACAGAAAUGGAUGGAUAUGCUUCUCUGUCAUUGUACUGUAUGGAGAUUGGAAAUGGCUUCCUGAUUGCCACUCACUAGAAUAAUAAAUGAUACGGAUGAUUUGCAUA